CUCCUGGCCGGCCACAUGACUCGUGAUACACGGCCACGGCAGCUCUUUAACUCGCUCUCAGGCGCGUCCGUCGUUGGUAUUAGUGAGGGGCAAGUGGUAGAGGAGCAGGUUAGGCUUGGAAAAAUAAGAAAGUGCACAAUGAGUUACGAGUCAUCUACCAGUUCUGCGCUUCCUGAUGGGGAGACAAGGACAAAUCUCAUCAUUAAUUACCUCCCACAGACACUCACGGACCAAGAGUUUUACAAGAUAUUUGUUGUAGUAGGACCCAUUAAAAACUGCCGCAUUAUGAAGGACUUAAAGCAGACUGGCUAUUCGUUUGGCUUCGGCUUUGUGGAGUACCAGAAGCCCGAAGAUGCCGCUAAAGCCAUUCUGCAGUUGAAUAAUCUUCCCGUGCAGCAUAAACGCAUCAAGGUCUCGUACGCACGGCCGCCGGGCGAAGACAUAAAGGAAACUAAUCUCUAUAUUCAGAAUAUUCCCAGAUCAUACACGCUAGAUCAACUAGAAGAAUUGUUUGCAGUAUAUGGGCAAAUUGUCCAGAAAAAUCUUCUAAAGGAUAAAGUGACAGGACUGCCACGAGGUGUUGGUUUUGUCAGGUUUGACAAGAAAUCUCAAGCGGAGGCAGCAAUUGUGGGCAUGAACGGCGUGGUGCCUGAGGGCGGGACAGAACCUCUAGUGGUCAAAGUUGCAGAAGAACAUGGUAAAAUGAAAGCUGCAUAUUAUGCUGGUUAUCACGCAGGACUUAGUAACACGAGAGGUGGAAGCACUGGUCGUGGGCGUGGCAACUACAACAAUCGUGGAGGUGGUGCUUAUCAAGGCCGUGGAAACUACAAUAACAUGUAUCAUCACAGGUGGUACUGAGCCGAGGAGUGGAAGGUGAUGCCAGCGCCACCCGCCCCCAUCCUCCUCGCAAGCAGAAUCGUCAGUACCAGCAGGGCGGCAAGAUGGCCGCAGACCGAACCGCUAAUCGCUAUAACCCCAUCGGCAGUGGUGGUGGCUAUGGUAAUUAUGGCGGUGGGAAUGGUGCGGGCUAUUCCAACCACGCGGCUGGCCA
rnacentral:misc_RNA from 1 species